AGCAUAUCAAUAAGCGGAGGAAAAGAAACUAACAAGGAUUCCCCUAGUAACUGCGAGUGAAGCGGGAAAAGCUCAAAUUUAAAAUCUGGCGGUUCUUGUAGCCGUCCGAGUUGUAAUUUAGAGAAGUGUUAUCCGCGCUGGACCGUGUACAAGUCUCCUGGAAUGGAGCGUCAUAGAGGGUGAGAAUCCCGUCUUUGACACGGACUGCCAGGGCAUUGUGAUGCGCUCUCAAAGAGUCGAGUUGUUUGGGAAUGCAGCUCAAAAUGGGUGGUAAAUUCCAUCUAAAGCUAAAUAUUGAGGAGAGACCGAUAGCGAACAAGUACCGUGAGGGAAAGAUGAAAAGAACUUUGGAAAGAGAGUUAAACAGUACGUGAAAUUGCUGAAAGGGAAACGCUUGAAGUCAGUCGCGUCGUUCAGGACUCAGCCUUGCUUUGCUUGGUGUACUUCCUGUUCGACGGGUCAGCAUCAAUUUUGGUCGGUGGAAAAAGGCUUAGAGAAUGUGGCAUCUUCGGGUGUGUUAUAGCUCUGGGUCGCAUACAUCGGCUGGGAUUGAGGAACUCAGCACGCCGAAAGGCCGGGUACUUGUACCACGUACGUGCUUAGGAUGCUGGCAUAAUGGCUUUAAUCGACCCGUCUUGAAACACGGACCAAGGAGUCUAACAUGCCUGCGAGUGUUUGGGGU
rnacentral:rRNA from 1 species